AUUGAACGCUGGCGGCAGGCUUAACACAUGCAAGUCGAGCGAGCGGCGGACGGGUGAAUAAUGUCUGGGAAACUGCCUGAUGGAGGGGGAUAACCACUGGAAACUGUAGCUAAUACCGCAUACCAUCAGAUGUGCCCAGAUGGGAUUAUCUAGGAGGUGGGGUAAUGGCUCACCUAGGCGACGAUCCCUAGCUGGUCUGAGAGGAGGACCAGCCACACUGGAACUGAGACACGGUCCAGACGCCUACGGGAGGCAGCAGUGGGGAAUAUUGCACAAUGGGCGCAAGCCUGAUGCAGCCAUGCCGCGUGUAUGAAGAAGGCCCUCGGGUUGUAAAGCACUUUCAGCGAGGAGGCGUUACUCACAGAAGAAGCACCGGCUAACUCCGUGCCAGCAGCCGCGGUAAUAC
rnacentral:rRNA from 1 species